rnacentral:rRNA from 1 species
UGUGCCUUCGGGAACCGUGAGACAGGUGCUGCAUGGCUGUCGUCAGCUCGUGUUGUGAAAUGAUGGGUUAAGUCCCGCAACGAGCGCAACCCUUAUCCUUUGUUGCCAGCGGUCCGGCCGGGAACUCAAAGGAGACUGCCAGUGAUAAACUGGAGGAAGGUGAGGAUGACGUCAAGUCAUCAUGGCCCUUACGACCAGGGCUACACACGUGCUACAAUGGCGCAUACAAAGAGAAGCGACCUCGCGAGAGCAAGCGGACCUCAUAAAGUGCGUCGUAGUCCGGAUUGGAGUCUGCAACUCGACUCCAUGAAGUCGGAAUCGCUAGUAAUCGUGGAUCAGAAUGCCACGGUGAAUACGUUCCCGGGCCUUGUACACACCGCCCGUCACACCAUGGGAGUGGGUUGCAAAAGAAGUAGGUAGCUUAACCUUCGGGAGGGCGCUUACCACUUUGUGAUUCAUGACUGGGGUGAAGUCGUAACAAGGUAACCGUAGGGGAACCUGCGGUUGGAUCACCUCCUUACCUUAAAGAAGC